UCUGUCUACUGGAAGUGAUUCUUCCCACCCUUUAGUAGUUAUGUCUAUAUAACCGAUCUGAUAAAGGAAGAUGGAUGGUAUGAGAUACGAUGUAAAAGCAAGCUUGGUCUUGUAUUGAAAAAUUAAAUCCAUGUCAAAUGAUACGUAGGAAAUCUGGUACAUAACAAUUAAUCGACCUAUAAAACAGAAAGAAGGCAGUACUACACACUAACAAGAACAGAGCAUCUUCAAUCAAGUGAUGCUGCUCAAACUUUAUGCUUAAUUGUAAAAGAAUGCAAAU